GGUCCGUUAGUCUAGUGGUUAGGACGACUGGUUUUGAUCAGUUGUUGAAUCCAGUAAGCACCGGUUCGAACCCGGUAUGGACCU
rfam:Verticillium longisporum isolate VL1 genome assembly, contig: scaffold_41